CAGAGGGUGCGAGCGUUAAUCGGAUUUACUGGGCGUAAAGCGUGCGUAGGCGGCUUUUAAGUCGGAUGUGAAAUCCCCGAGCUUAACUUGGGAAUUGCAUUCGAUACUGGGAAGCUAGAGUAUGGGAGAGGAUGGUAGAAUUCCAGGUGUAGCGGUGAAAUGCGUAGAGAUCUGGAGGAAUACCGAUGGCGAAGGCAGCCAUCUGGCCUAAUACUGACGCUGAGGUACGAAAGCAUGGGAGCAAACAGGAUU
rnacentral:rRNA from 1 species